UACGUAGGGUGCAAGCGUUGUCCGGAAUUAUUGGGCGUAAAGAGCUCGUAGGCGGUCUGUCGCGUCUGCUGUGAAAACUCGGGGCUUAACCCCGGGCCUGCAGUGGGUACGGGCAGACUAGAGUGCGGUAGGGGAGGCUGGAAUUCCUGGUGUAGCGGUGAAAUGCGCAGAUAUCAGGAGGAACACCGGUGGCGAAGGCGGGUCUCUGGGCCGUAACUGACGCUGAGGAGCGAAAGCGUGGGGAGCGAACAGG
rnacentral:rRNA from 1 species